UGAACGCUAGCGGCAGGCUAACACAUGCAAGUCGAGGGGCAUCGGGAGUAGCAAUACUUGCCGGCGACCGGCGCAAGGGUGCGUAACGCGUGAGCAACAUGCCCGUAUCAGGGGGAUAAUCCAUGGAAACGUGGUCUAAUACCCCAUAGUAAUUAUGUAAGGCAUCUUAUAUAAUUUAAAGCUUUGGUGGAUACGGAUUGGCUCGCGUGACAUUAGCUGGAUGGUAAGGUAACGGCUUACCAUGGCUACGAUGUCUAGGGGUUCUGAGAGGAAGGUCCCCCACACUGGAACUGAGACACGGUCCAGACUCCUACGGGAGGCAGCAGUGAGGAAUAUUGGACAAUGGAUGGAAAUCUGAUCCAGCCAUGCCGCGUGCAGGAAGACGGCCCUAUGGGUUGUAAACUGCUUUUGUAUGGGAGCAAUAAGGGCUACGUGUAGUCCGAUGAGAGUACCAUACGAAUAAGCACCGGCUAACUCCGUGCCAGCCGCCGC
rnacentral:rRNA from 1 species